rnacentral:antisense_RNA from 1 species
UGUGGGAGCGGGCUUGCUCGCGAUACAAACGACGCGGUUUAACCUUGAAACUGCGUAGAUGCCAUCGCGAGCAAGCCCGCUCCCACA